rnacentral:rRNA from 1 species
AAACUUUCAACAACGGAUCUCUUGGUUCUCGCAUCGAUGAAGAACGCAGCGAAAUGCGAUAAGUAAUAUGAAUUGCAGAUAUUCGUGAAUCAUCGAAUCUUUGAACGCACAUUGCGCCUUUUGGUAUUCCAGAAGGCAUGCUUGUUUGAGCGUCAUUU